GACGGAGGGGGCUAGCGUUGUUCGGAAUUACUGGGCGUAAACGCGCGUAGGCGGCGCAUUAAGCAGAGGUGAAAGCCCGGGGCUCAACCCCGGAAUUGCCUUUGAGACUGGUGUGCUUGAGUACGGAAGAGGUGAGUGGAAUUCCCAGUGUAGAGGUGAAAUUCGUAGAUAUUGGAAGAACACCAGUGGCGAAGGCGGCUCACUGGUCCGUAACUGACGCUGAGGUGCGAAAGCGUGGGGAGCAAAACGGAUUCAG
rnacentral:rRNA from 1 species